rnacentral:rRNA from 1 species
CCUACGGGAGGCAGCAGUAGGGAAUAUUGCUCAAUGGGGGAAACCCUGAAGCAGCAACGCCGCGUGGAGGAUGAAGGUUUUCGGAUUGUAAACUCCUUUUGUUAGAGAAGAUAAUGACGGUAUCUAACGAAUAAGCACCGGCUAACUCCGUGCCAGCAGCCGCGGUAAUACGGAGGGUGCAAGCGUUACUCGGAAUCACUGGGCGUAAAGAGGGCGUAGGCGGUAUAGCAAGUCAGAUGUGAAAUCCUAUGGCUUAACCAUAGAACUGCAUUUGAAACUGUUAUUCUAGAGUAUGGGAGAGGUAGGUGGAAUUCUUGGUGUAGGGGUAAAAUCCGUAGAGAUCAAGAGGAAUACUCAUUGCGAAGGCGACCUGCUAGAACAUAACUGACGCUGAUGCGCGAAAGCGUGGGGAGCAAACAGGAUUAGAUACCCCUGUAGUC